rnacentral:rRNA from 1 species
CACGUAGGCGGACUAUUAAGUCAGGGGUGAAAUCCCGGGGCUCAACCCCGGAACUGCCUUUGAUACUGGUAGUCUUGAGUUCGAGAGAGGUGAGUGGAAUUCCGAGUGUAGAGGUGAAAUUCGUAGAUAUUCGGAGGAACACCAGUGGCGAAGGCGGCUCACUGGCUCGAUACUGACGCUGAGGUGCGAAAGCGUGGGGAGCAAACA